GACAGAGGUGCCGAGCGUUAGGCGGAAUCACUGGGCUUAAAGCGUGUGUAGGCGGGUCGUUAAGUGUCUUGUGGAAUCCCACCGCUCACCGGUGGAACGGCUGGGCAUACUGGCGACCUUGAGAGGCCUAGGGGCAGACGGAACAAGCGGUGGAGCGGUGAAAUGCGUAGAUAUCGCUUGGAACGCCGACGGCGAAAGCAGUCUGCUGGGGGCCUUCUGACGCUGAGACACGAAAGCCAGGGGAGCGAACGGG
rnacentral:rRNA from 1 species